CGUUGAAACACAGGUUUCCAUACGAUCGCCGAAGUUAAGCAACGUCAACCGGGUUAGUACUUAGAUGGGUGACCGCUUGGAAAUAUCAGGUGCUAUA